rnacentral:rRNA from 1 species
CGUAACAAGGUCUCCGUUGGUGAACCAGCGGAGGGAUCAUUACCGAGUUUACAACUCCCAAACCCCUGUGAACAUACCACUUGUUGCCUCGGCGGAUCAGCCCGCUCCCGGUAAAACGGGACGGCCCGCCAGAGGACCCCUAAACUCUGUUUCUAUAUGUAACUUCUGAGUAAAACCAUAAAUAAAUCAAAACUUUCAACAACGGAUCUCUUGGUUCUGGCAUCGAUGAAGAACGCAGCAAAAUGCGAUAAGUAAUGUGAAUUGCAGAAUUCAGUGAAUCAUCGAAUCUUUGAACGCACAUUGCGCCCGCCAGUAUUCUGGCGGGCAUGCCUGUUCGAGCGUCAUUUCAACCCUCAAGCACAGCUUGGUGUUGGGACUCGCGUUAAUUCGCGUUCCUCAAAUUGAUUGGCGGUCACGUCGAGCUUCCAUAGCGUAGUAGUAAAACCCUCGUUACUGGUAAUCGUCGCGGCCACGCCGUUAAACCCCAACUUCUGAAUGUUGACCUCGGAUCAGGUAGGAAUACCCGCUGAACUUAAGCAUAUCAAUA